rnacentral:rRNA from 1 species
UUGUUGGUGAGGUAAAGGCUUACCAAGGCUUCAAUCAGUAGCUGGUCUGAGAGGACGACCAGCCACACUGGGACUGAGACACGGCCCAGACUUCUACGGGAGGCAGCAGUGGGGAAUUUUGGACAAUGGGGGAAACCCUGAUCCAGCCAUGCCGCGUGAGUGAAGAAGGCCUUCGGGUUGUAAAGCUCUUUCAGCCGGAACGAAACGGUUACGAUUAAUACCUGUAACUACUGACGGUACCGGAAGAAGAAGCACCGGCUAACUACGUGCCAGCAGCCGCGGUAAUACGUAGGGUGCGAGCGUUAAUCGGAAUUACUGGGCGUAAAGCGUGCGCAGGUGGUUUUGUAAGUCAGAUGUGAAAUCCCCGGGCUUAACCUGGGAACUGCGUUUGAAACUACAAGGCUAGAGUGUGGCAGAGGGGGGUGGAAUUCCGCGUGUAGCAGUGAAAUGCGUAGAGAUGUGGAGGAACACCGAUGGCGAAGGCAGCCCCCUGGGUCAACACUGACGCUCAGGCACGAAAGCAUGGGGAGCAAACAGGAUUAGAUACCCUGGUAGUCCAUGCCCUAAACGAUGUCAACUAGUUGUCGGGUCUUAACGGGCUUGGUAACGUAGCUAACGCGUGAAGUUGACCGCCUGGGGAGUACGAUCGCAAGAUUAAAACUCAAAGGAAUUGACGGGGACCCGCACAAGCGGUGGAUUAUGUGGAUUAAUUCGAUGCAACGCGAAAAACCUUACCUACCCUUGACAUGUAUUGGAGCCCGCAGAGAUGUGGGUGUGCCCGAAAGGGAACGAUAACACAGGUGCUGCAUGGCUGUCGUCAGCUCGUGUCGUGAGAUGUUGGGUUAAGUCCCGCAACGAGCGCAACCCUUGUCAUUAAUUGCCAUCAUUUAGUUGGGCACUUUAAUGAGACCGCCGG